rnacentral:rRNA from 1 species
GAUGAACGCUGGCGGCGUGCCUAAUACAUGCAAGUCGAGCGAACGGACGAGAAGCUUGCUUCUCUGAUGCUAGCGGCGGACGGGUGAGUAACACGUGGAUAACCUACCUAUAAGACUGGGAUAACUUCGGGAAACCGGAGCUAAUACCGGAUGAUAUUUUGAACCGCAUGGUUCAAAAGUGAAAGACGGCCUUGCUGUCACUUAUAGAUGGAUCCGCGCUGCAUUAGCUAGUUGGUAAGGUAACGGCUUACCAAGGCAACGAUGCAUAGCCGACCUGAGAGGGUGAUCGGCCACACUGGAACUGAGACACGGUCCAGACUCCUACGGGAGGCAGCAGUAGGGAAUCUUCCGCAAUGGGCGAAAGCCUGACGGAGCAACGCCGCGUGAGUGAUGAAGGUCUUCGGAUCGUAAAACUCUGUUAUUAGGGAAGAACAUAUGUGUAAGUAACUGUGCACAUCUUGACGGUACCUAAUCAGAAAGCCACGGCUAACUACGUG